rnacentral:misc_RNA from 1 species
GGUGGUGAUACAAGCAGCAUAGCUUCAUGAACAAUCUCAUUAGGAGGAAUGUGUUCGUUCCUUGCAUAAAUUAGAAUAUUAUGGGCAGAGAGAUUUUCAAAGCCUGGCUCAUGUAGAUUAGUAUGAACUCGCCUCUGGAGUCUUUCAACAAGUGACAAAAUGUGCUUCCUACGCUCUGAUCUCUUUCUUCUUGGGACACUCUCAGGAUUCCAAAG